ACGCUGGCGGCGUGCUUAACACAUGCAAGUCGAACGAAGCUUGAUUACGGAUUCUUCGGAUGAAGUAUGAUAUGACUGAGUGGCGGACGGGUGAGUAACGCGUGAGUAACCUGCCCUUCAGAGGGGGAUAGCGUUUGGAAACGAACGGUAAUACCGCAUAAUGUAUUUUGACCGCAUGAUCGAAAUACCAAAGAUUUAUCGCUGAAGGAUGGACUCGCGUCUGAUUAGGUAGUUGGUGGGGUAACGGCCUACCAAGCCGACGAUCAGUAGCCGGACUGAGAGGUUGAUCGGCCACAUUGGGACUGAGACACGGCCCAGACUCCUACGGGAGGCAGCAGUGGGGAAUAUUGCACAAUGGGCGCAAGCCUGAUGCAGCAACGCCGCGUGAAGGAAGACGGUUUUCGGAUUGUAAACUUCUGUUCUUAGUGAAGAAUAAUGACGGUAGCUAAGGAGCAAGCCACGGCUAACUACGUGCCAGCAGCCGCGGUAAUACGUAGGUGGCAAGCGUUGUCCGGAAUUACUGGGUGUAAAGGGAGCGCAGGCGGGUGAUCAAGUCAGCUGUGAAAACUACGGGCUUAACCCGUAGACUGCAGUUGAAACUGUUCAUCUUGAGUGAAGUAGAGGUUGGCGGAAUUCCGAGUGUAGCGGUGAAAUGCGUAGAUAUUCGGAGGAACACCGGUGGCGAAGGCGGCCAACUGGGCUUUAACUGACGCUGAGGCUCGAAAGUGUGGGGAGCAAACAGGAUUAGAUACCCUGGUAGUCCACACUGUAAACGAUGAUUGCUAGGUGUGGGGGGUCUGACCCCUUCCGUGCCGGAGCUAACGCAAUAAGCAAUCCACCUGGGGAGUACGACCGCAAGGUUGAAACUCAAAG
rnacentral:rRNA from 1 species